rnacentral:rRNA from 1 species
GACGAACGCUGGCGGCGUGCUUAACACAUGCCAGUCGAACGGAAAGGCCCUGCUUUUGUGGGGUGCUCGAGUGGCGAACGGGUGAGUAACACGUGAGUAACAUGCCCUUGACUUUGGGAUAACUUCAGGAAACUGGGGCUAAUACCGGAUAGGAGCUCCUGAUGCAUGGUGGGGGUUGGAAAGUUUCGGCUGUUGGGGAUGGACUAGCAGCUUAUCAGCUUGUUGGUGGGGUAGUGGCUUACCAAGGCUUUGACGGGUAGCCGGCCUGAGAGGGUGACCGGCCACAUUGGUACUGAGAGACGGCCCAGACUCCUACGGGACGCAGCAGUGGGGAAUAUUGCACAAUGGGCGGAAGCCUGAUGCAGCAACGCCGCGUGCGGGAUGACGGCCUUCUGGUUGUAAACCGCUUUCGCCGGUGACGAAGCGUGAGUGACGGUAAUGGGUAAAGAAGCACCGGCUAACUACGUG